GCCCGGGUGGCUCAGUCGGUUAAGCGUCCGACUUCAGCUCAGGUCAUGAUGUCGUGGUCCGUGGGUUCAAGCCCCGCGUCGGGCU
rfam:Felis catus isolate Cinnamon breed Abyssinian chromosome F2, whole genome shotgun sequence.